rnacentral:sRNA from 1 species
CUUCCUGCUACUGCAGGCCUCUCCUCCGAGAACAGAGUUUCUUGGUCACAGGACGUGACCCCAGCCAGGCCCUGGUGUUGAGGUCAGGACCUUUACCAGGAGAAGUCAACACCUACCAGAUCCAGAAGAUUCCCAGAGGUGUGUCCCUGGAAUCCUCCAACCUCUGCAUGCCAGACCUGCCCCAUCUCCUGGCCUUUCUAUCAGCCAGCAGGUACAGGUCACCCAUCUGAGGCACUAAGGGGGACCCUUCCCUAAGACACCCCACUGACACUGUGGCUCCCACCUCUUUAUUCUCAGGGAUGUUCUGCCCAGAACCCUGCUCUUGCCCCCUCCCACUCUAGGGCCCAGAGAUGAACACACAGGUGAGGCAUGGUUCUCUAAAGAGGGCACAGCCAACCUGCCAAUUUCCUUGCUCCAAGGGAAUAAAUGGGGCUUUGGGGCCCAGACUACUGGGUUUGAGGGGAAUAUAGACCUGGAGACUAGAGAGAGCUGGGGGCCUGGACUUUGUAGUCCCAGAGGGAGGAGGGGAUGGGGACCUGUAUU